rnacentral:lncRNA from 1 species
GAUCGAGGUUUUGAUCUUGCUUUGAAAUGGUUAUCGAAUGCUCAUUUUAAUUCUUGUAUUUACAGAUGAAUAAAGAAUGAAAAAAUAUUAUACAUUUCAUGGGAGAGGGAUACAUUUGUUAUGAAUGGGGAUUGUUCAUGGCAAACAAACAAUAAUAAUACAUGCCUCAUACACCAUACAAGUAGGCCACAGUUAAUCAAACAAGUAAGAUAUAAACAAGUAUAUAAUCGAAUCAAAAUAAUCAAAGAAUGAAAUAAUGAAGCAUUAAACAAUGUAUGAGUGUAAGUGCAAGGGACAUGUCUCAUUGUAAGGAAGCCCAAGAGUAAGCUAUGUGAGGUCGAUGGCGAUGCUUAAAAAGCAAUCGACUUACAAGGGUGUGAAAAAAUGGGCUCGAUAUUAAAUCGAGAAAAAUAUGAUUUUUAUAGUUUUAAAAUGGUUUUGAAUUAAAUUAAAAUACAACAACUUUACAUUAUUAACAAAAUGAACAUAUGAGUGUAAUAAAGGCAUAAACAUAAAAAGAAACUAAAAUGCUAAAAGAAAAAAUAAUAUAGCUAAAAGAAAUAAAAUGCCAAAAAAUGCCACACAUGAGUAUUGAACCCACCCCACUCAAGAAUAUACACACUGCCCUUCUCCACCAGACCACUUAUGAUCAUCUGCUACUGUGAUACUAUGUUAAAUAUAUAAACCGGGAUAAAAAAUAAAAAAAGAUUAAGAACAAUAAAAGAAAAUACUAACAUAUAAACAUUUUUAUGUUUUUUAUCUCUGUUAAAAAAACAAAUUAAAUUAAAUAAAAAGAAAAUAGAAAAAAUUAAAAAAAAGAAAAGAACGAAAUGGAGACGACGAAGCAGGAACUCGUCUUCCUUCCACCUCUCCCCAACCUCACGAACUCACCCUUUCCCAACAAUGGCAAUCUCACGCACUCGCCCCUCUCGUCCCUCUUAUGACAUCGCUCAUCAACGAAACCCUCUCACGCUCUCAAAACUCAGCGACUCAAUCUCUC